rnacentral:rRNA from 1 species
UCGGGAAUUUUGGGCAAUGGGGGAAACCCUGACCCAGCAACGCCGCGUGAAGGAUGAAGUAUUUCGGUAUGUAAACUUCGAAAGAAUAGGAAGAAUUAAUGACGGUACUAUUUAUAAGGUCCGGCUAACUACGUGCCAGCAGCCGCGGUAAUACGUAGGGACCAAGCGUUGUUCGGAUUUACUGGGCGUAAAGGGCGCGUAGGCGGCGCGGUAAGUCACUUGUGAAAUCUCUGAGCUUAACUCAGAACGGCCAAGUGAUACUGCAGUGCUAGAGUGUGGAAGGGGCAAUCGGAAUUCUUGGUGUAGCGGUGAAAUGCGUAGAUAUCAAGAGGAACACCUGAGGUGAAGACGGGUUGCUGGGCCAACACUGACGCUGAGGCGCGAAAGCCAGGGGAGCAA